GCCUGGGUGGCUCAGUCGGUUAAGUGUCUGACUUUAGCUCAGGUCAUGAUUUCAUUGUUCGUGAGUUCGAAACCCGCGUCAGGCU
rnacentral:tRNA from 1 species